UACGGAGGGGGCUAGCGUUGUUCGGAAUUACUGGGCGUAAAGCGCGCGUAGGCGGCUUUAUAAGUUAGAGGUGAAAGCCCGGAGCUCAACUCCGGAAUUGCCUUUAAGACUGCAUCGCUAGAAUCAUGGAGAGGUGAGUGGAAUUCCGAGUGUAGAGGUGAAAUUCGUAGAUAUUCGGAAGAACACCAGUGGCGAAGGCGACUCACUGGACAUGUAUUGACGCUGAGGUGCGAAAGCGUGGGGAGCAAACAGG
rnacentral:rRNA from 1 species